rnacentral:rRNA from 1 species
UACGUAGGGUGCGAGCGUUGUCCGGAAUUAUUGGGCGUAAAGAGCUCGUAGGCGGUUUGUCGCGUCGGGGAGUGAAAACACCGGGCUUAACUCGGUGCUUGCUUUCGAUACGGGCAGACUAGAGGUAUGCAGGGGAGAACGGAAUUCCUGGUGUAGCGGUGAAAUGCGCAGAUAUCAGGAGGAACACCGGUGGCGAAGGCGGUUCUCUGGGCAUUACCUGACGCUGAGGAGCGAAAGUGUGGGGAGCGAACAGG